AGCUGAAAAAGUGAUCUGAGUACUGCAGAAGUCUUUCAUUGGAAUGCUUCAGUAUUCAGCUGACUUUUCUCAGCAGUCCUACAGCAAGGCUAGGUGGUGCAGAAGGAGGGCUCCAAACCUCAGCUGACCACACUGAUGUGUAUUUUGAGAUUUUUAGACUUCUCAUGUAGGCAGUUUUCAAAAAUUGAUACAGAGGAAAUAGAUACUUUUCUGCCAGUGGAAAUUCUUCAUGCUGAGUUGUAAGAAGUUCCAUGGACCGUUUAGCUAUUAAAGGCUGACUGUCCAUAUGGCUUCCUCCACUCAUAGAUGGUAGUAAUCAGGAUGGUACCUGCAGCUGACAACAGAGGGAUCUGACAAAAUGAUGUCUGAUGUGGAAGUGGGUAUGAAGCAAAGAUAUGUCAUCUGAAGGAUGUGGAGAGAUCAUUGCUCUGGUAGAACCAUGAUGGGCCCUAUGGCAUUGAGGAACAGUGAGCUUCAGAAUGCUGCAGGUAAGAACUGGGACCACUCAGAAUUAUCUUCUCACCUUCUCUUCUUCUCUACUCUGUACAUAUGUUCCACUUUUCUAGGCAAGGAGAUCAUCAAGAAUCCUCCGUGUAGCAGUAAUGGGGAGAAGCAAGGCAUGCCUCAACAUCACCUUGUUGCUAUAUAUUUGUGCUUCAAGUGCUUUUUGACAUUUCUUUUUGACAUCUGGGGCUCCUAGCCCCAUUCAAGUGGUGCCCUUAUCAUGCACCUUUCCCAUGCAGCUGAGUUAAACCUCAGAAUUAAUGAAAUCAGUGACAAAACUGAGUCAGCUUCAGAAGUGUCCCAGUUUUACUAUGAAUGUGAC
ensembl:lncRNA